rnacentral:tRNA from 338 species
GGGUCGUUAGCUCAGUCGGUAGAGCAGCGGACUUUUAAUCCGUUGGUCGAGCGUUCGAAUCGCUCACGACCCACCA